rnacentral:rRNA from 1 species
GCAUCGGGAUUGAAGCUUGCUUCAUUGCCGGCGACCGGCGCACGGGUGCGUAACGCGUAUGUAACCUACCUAUAACAGGGGCAUAACACUGAGAAAUUGGUACUAAUUCCCCAUAAUAUUCGGAGAGGCAUCUCUCCGGGUUGAAAACUCCGGUGGUUAUAGAUGGACAUGCGUUGUAUUAGCUAGUUGGUGAGGUAACGGCUCACCAAGGCAACGAUACAUAGGGGGACUGAGAGGUUAACCCCCCACACUGGUACUGAGACACGGAUCAGACUCCUACGGGAGGCAGCAGUGAGGAAUAUUGGUCAAUGGACGCAAGUCUGAACCAGCCAUGCCGCGUGCAGGAAGACGGCUCUAUGAGUUGUAAACUGCUUUUGUACGAGGGUAAACUCACCUACGUGUAGGUGACUGAAAGUAUCGUACGAAUAAGGAUCGGCUAACUCCGUGCCAGCAGCCGCGGUAAUACGGAGGAUUCAGGCGUUAUCCGGAUUUAUUGGGUUUAAAGGGUGCGUAGGCGGUUUGAUAAGUUAGAGGUGAAAUCCCGGGGCUUAACUCCGGAACUGCCUCUAAUACUGUUAGACUAGAGAGUAGUUGCGGUAGGCGGAAUGUAUGGUGUAGCGGUGAAAUGCUUAGAGAUCAUACAGAACACCGAUUGCGAAGGCAGCUUACCAAACUAUAUCUGACGUUGAGGCACGAAAGCGUGGGGAGCAAACAGGAUUAGAUACCCUGGUAGUCCACGCAGUAAACGAUGAUAACUCGUUGUCG